AAAUUUUAAAUGGCCGCAGUACUCUGACUGUGCAAAGGUAGCAUAAUCAUUUGUUUUUUUAAUGAAAACUGGUAUGAAAGAGGCGACGAAAUAUAAUCUUUUAUUUUUAAUUAAUAAAAUUGACAUAAGGGUCAAAAGGCCCUUAUAAACCAGUGGGACGAUAAGACCCUAUAAAACUUUACUUUUAUACAUAUUAAUUUUUUAGUAAUUAUUUUUUGUUAUAGAGUUAAGCUGGGGCGGUAAAAAUAAAAACUACUAUAUAUAAAAUAUAUAUUUAUAGAUCAUUAGAACUUAGAUUUAAAUUAGAAUAAGUUACUUUAGGGAUAACAGCAUAAUCCCCCUAGAGAGUUCUAAUUGGCAGGGGGGCUUAUGACCUCGAUGUUGAAUUGGAAAUCCUAUUAUAAGCAGUAAUAUAUGAAGGUAGUCUGUUCGACUAUUAAAUUUCC
rnacentral:rRNA from 1 species